AGUCCGUAUCAGCAGAGCUGGGUCGCAACAGGUCAGCAGAAUGCAGCCGACCCACGCCACUUCUCAGGCUGAGGAGCUCAAGCAAAGAUGCGCAAACUACUAAAGGGUACAAUUCUAAAGCAAAAAAGACUGAGAAGGCCUGGGAGUUCUCCCCUCCACAACUCGGGGAAGACGCAAGAGGGAAGGGUCAGGAGGAGCCCGCAAGGAUCAAAACAGAGACCACAAUGCGCACGCGAUUCUGAAAGGCAAAGUCCACACCAGACAACCAGGAGUCUCAGAUUCAAUGGAAGGAGUGGUCUUUCCUUGUGACAUGGGAUGGACUCUGCCGUACAUCUCAGGAGCCGGGCAGACCCAAGUGUUCAUUAAGAAUGAGAGGAAACAUGAAGUUUAUUCCUGAAAUAGCUCUCUGGCCACCUCACAUACUGUGGCUGAAUUUGGCCACAUACAGGUCUACGUUUUGAGCCACCAAAGCCUUCAGAGUAUCUGUGUUUAAAAAAAAAAAACAAAAAAAAAAACCCUAAAAUGGAAUCAUGGAGCACACAGGGGAGAGACUGCGGAGGCUCAGGGGACUGACAGUGCAGGGUGCAGUUCGAUCAAAGCAAUCCUUUCCUUGUAAUCUUACAUUGGAGCCAGAGAAUCCAUAAUUUUACAUGGUCAUUAUCUAGAAUGGGUACGACUACCACAAGGCAGUAGAGAUUCUGAUACAAUUAAAGACAGCACAUUUUGUCUAAUAAAGCAACUCUGAAAGGAACAUCAUCAAUAGCCGAAGAUAAAAAGUAAACCAAGUUCAGCAUCACAAGCUUUUCCACAUGAUUUCAGCCAUUACCUAGUCUCAGCCUUGCAUGCUUCUGGCUCUUAUGGGAACCGGGAAUGUGAUGCUGUUUCUAAUGAGUCAACUAAACUCCUGGGCCGGCUCCUUCUCCACCAAACCCCGUAAGACUUAAAUCCUAAACUGAUGGGUCUCCAGCACACUCCAACAGCACCACUCACACACCAGCUCUUCCCUUUCGGGAGAAGGGAACACACCACCACAGGCCUACGAAUGCUAUCACUUAGCUGCCUCUCAGUCAAUUUCCUCUCUAGUCCUUCAGAGUUUUUCUGAUUACUGAGGUUCAGGCCAUGAGCCACACUUCCAAGUUCUAAAACAAUGUGGAAAGGACUCUGCUUUAUCCACUCUGGCAUUUCACCUCCCAGGCUGUAUUCUGCUGAUAAAGCUGUGUCCUACCAAAAACCACAUCAUGAACUUAGUUGUCUGGGAUGUGCUGGGUUUGACCACGUAAAACAGGGUUCUUUCCUGCAGGACUUGUAAGUAGCACGUAUCUUGAAGCGCCUAGCAGUUAUCAGGACACUAAGUAUCUUCACAUUGGUGUGAGAUUAAGCAAGUGUUCUGGAGUCUCUCAAAUUCCCUGGAACUCUGCCUACAGGCUUUGCGGGCCUGGAUGUUACAGGCGGGAGCAUAAAAGUGAAAAACUUUCUGCCGUCUCCCUUCUCACUACUGCAAUAGUUUUAGGAUGUCAAAAUCAACACAAACACAAGACAAAAGACAAACAUACAACACAGGACAACGUAUUCACUUUUCUAUCCCACACCAAUUGUUUAACUUUCCUUGAGCCCAGUUAACCUGAUACAAGCCCUCUGCACCCUUUCAACUCAUCUAUUUACAAGACGGUAAGAUCUAAAAUAUCUACACACCCUAUUUCAUAAUCAACAUCUUUUGAUAAACUGGGAAAUAAAAGAACAUUUUGUUACGAUAACGCGUAAUGCUCCCUUCUAAGAAAAAACACUUGUACCCGAUCCAGCCAAUGUGGUUCAUUAACAACAAGUUCAUUGUUUCUUACAGGCUAACACUGACUGCCCACUGAGGACCUGACAAUGUUCGCAACACCUAGAUGUUCCCCCUGCCCACUAAGUCAUUCCUACGCACACUUCCAUUUCUUUGUGGGCACCCUAGAAAAAGGCUUACUAAAUUCUAAUGGUACUGAGACUGAAAGACCAGAGAGUAAUGAACCCACAAAGCAUCCUUCUUCUAGCUCUCAAUGACUACCCACACCAACAUACUCAGCACCCCCUCAAGCAAUGGUUUGUCAGAGAUGAAACCACAACAAAUGUGCAACAGAGGCCCCAGCUGUGGCACACAAGCGUCAGAAGCAAAAUGCAGGUCAUUCCCUGUAGUACACACACCGGCUUAGGCAGGUGGGACAGUCCUGACCCGAUUUCCUGAGACACACACCUUUGCACAAGCAUCCAAGCUGCCAGCACAAUUCCAUUCCAGAAAACCACUACGGAGUACAGGAGCCCCUUCCUUCAAGGGUAAGUGGAGGCAAAUGCAAGACACACUCUUGCUUACUAUUAAAAAAGAUCGAAGUUUUUAAAAGGGAAGUUUUCACUGCCAACUCAUGGA